UCCACGGCGCCCUGAAAGGCUUCCGAUUAUCCAAGUUUGUUGACGGCAGUCCUCUGGCCUUCACUGCCAAAUCGUCUGCUCUUUCAUUUCCCCUUACUCCUCUAUGGCCCGGUACCCAAACAAUGCAGAUCGUGCCAUCCUGGCUGUUAUCGAGCUGAUGAUCAGUUUACUGUCCGCAAAGAUGUUCACUCUCGACGUCCUCGCGUUAACACCACACCACCUCAUUCAUUCCGUGAACACACGAAUCUCCUUCUGCCGGACCGUAUUAUGGGCAGAAAUUCGGUAACACAUCUCAGUUUCUGGGCUUUCAAUGUAGACUCCAGGGCCACUACAUUCUCUAGCUUUGAUCCAUUCCUAACUUACAGAUGGCAAUACCAGAGUUUCGUCAAUAAAAAAAUGUCGCUGACAUCAGUGCCAGCUACAGUUUUCGAGAGAAUUGGUUGACAAAUGACCAUUUUAUUGCAGUAUUACUGCAAAUCGGAAGAACAUAUAUAUGGGAGCUAUAUCCAAAUCUGAACCGAUUUUUUCCAAUUUUAAUAGGCAUGCCUGUACCAAAUUUUAAUACGAUCGGAUGAAAAUUGCGACCUGUACUCUGUACACAAAUUAACAUGGACAGACAGACGGACAGAUAGACAGACAGACAGAUAAAUCGAAUCAGAAAGUGAUUCUGAGUCGAUCGGUAUACUUAUCAAUGGGUCUAUCUCUCUUCCUUCUGGGUGUUACAAACAAUUGCACUAAGUUAUAAUACCCUGUACCGCAGUAGGUGUAGGGAAAAAAAUUAAAAAAAAAAACAAUGUGAAUUUGUAUUUGCUGUAACUUGCUUAGGUUUGCAAACUUCAAAAUUUUUCAGACACCGUUGGAUUCGUGGGAAAAUCUUUUUCCGUAGUGGUGCCAGAUGAAGGAAUAAUGUAAAGUUUUCUAUAAAAAAUGUGGCAAAAACCAAAUCUUCUUUGGCGUAAAAAUUCAAGCAUUUCGGAAUUCGAGAUUCGAAGACGAUUCGUAAAAUAAACAGAAUUACUUAAAAUUGCACACUUUA